CUUUACCAAUUGUUAGCUCUGUGUUGAGAUUGACAGUUUUUGAAGCUUUGUGGAGCAGAGGUGCACCAUGGCUUGCCACAAGGUCACAACUGGUCCCUGGAGAGCCGCUGGUGGUGACGGGCUGCCUGUGCCCUCUCUGCGGCAAAACUCCACACAUACUCCACUCACCAAGUUCCAGAGGGAGAGGAUCACCGGCCGUACUAAAGGAAGUGGCUCUAUGUAGGGAUGGAACAUGGCAACUGCACCAGCUGGGACACACCUAGCCAACUAGGUGCACCAUGGCU